GCCCCUGGGUGGGCUCGAACCACCAACCUUUCGGUUAACAGCCGAACGCGCUGCCAUUGCGCCACAGAGGCG
rnacentral:tRNA from 1 species